UCCACGGUAGCUCAAUGGUAGAGCAAACGACUGUUAAUCGUUCGGUUGAAGGUUCGAAUCCUUCCCGUGGAG
rnacentral:tRNA from 1 species